AUUUAAGUAGUUUAAAAAUUAAAACAUUAAUUUGUGGGAUUAAAAAUAUAGGAGUAUAGUAAAUUUAUCUUAAGUU
rnacentral:tRNA from 1 species